UUCCGGUUGAUCCUGCCGGACCCGACUGCUAUUUGGGUGAGGAUAAGCCAUGCGAGUCGAAUGGGAUGCCUAAAAUUCCCAUGGCAAACUGCUCAGUAACACAUGAUCAACUUACCCUAUAGAGAAAAAUAACCUCGGGAAACUGAGGAUAAUGUUUCAUAAUUGAAUCGGCUUGGAAAAGUUUUUCAAUUAAAAGAAUAAGAAAAAUGGUUCUUGUUCGCUAUAGGAUAGGAUCGUGGACGAUUAUGGUUGUUGGUGAGGUAACGGCUCACCAAGCCGAUAAUCGAUAGGGGCCGUGAGAGCGGGAGCCCCGAGAUGGGUACUGAGACAACGACCCAGGCCUUACGAGGCGCAGCAGGCGCGGAACCUCCGCAAUACACGAAAGUGUGACGGGGUUACCCAAAGUGUUCAUUAUUGAACUGUGGUAGGUGAGUAAUGUUCCCUACUAGAAAGGAGAGGGCAAGGCUGGUGCCAGCCGCCGCGGUAAAACCAGCUCUUCAAGUGGUCGGGAUAAUUAUUGGGCUUAAAGUGUCCGUAGCUGGUUUAGUAAGUUCCUGGUAAAAUCGGGUAGCUUAACUAUCCGUAUGCUAGGAAUACUGCUAUACUAGAGGGCGGGAGAGGUCUGAAGUACUACAGGGGUAGGGGUGAAAUCUUAUAAUCCUUGUAGGACCACCAGUGGCGAAGGCGUCAGACUGGAACGCGCCUGACAGUGAGGGACGAAAGCCAGGGGAGCGAACCGGAUUAGAUACCCGGGUAGUCCUGGCCGUAAACGAUGCAUACUAGGUGAUGGUACGGCCAUGAGCCGUAUCAGUGCCGUAGGGAAACCGUUAAGUGUGCCGCCUGGGAAGUACGGUCGCAAGGCUAAAACUUAAAGGAAUUGGCGGGGGAGCACCACAAGGGGUGAAGCCUGCGGUUCAAUUGGAAUCAACGCCGGA
rnacentral:rRNA from 1 species